UGCAGUGGAGCGACGAACCAGGCUUCGGCCUGGGGCAAAGCCGCGAACGGGUGAGUAACACGUGGGUAACCUGCCCUGAUGAUUGGGACAACCCGAGGAAACUCGGGCUAAUACCGGAUGUGCCCUCCGGCCAUAAGGCCGCUGGGGAAAGGAAGCUUCGGCCUCCGCAUCGGGAUGGGCCCGCGGCCCAUUAGCUUGUUGGUGAGGUAAUGGCUCACCAAGGCGACGAUGGGUAGCUGGUCUGAGAGGACGAUCAGCCACACUGGGACUGAGACACGGCCCAGACUCCUACGGGAGGCAGCAGUGGGGAAUCUUGCGCAAUGCGCGAAAGCGUGACGCAGCAACGCCGCGUGGGGGAAGAAGGCCUUCGGGUUGUAAACCCCUUUCAGUUGGGACGAAGCUUCGUCGGUGAAUAGCCGGCCGGAGUGACGGUACCUUCAGAAGAAGCCCCGGCUAACUACGUGCCAGCAGCCGCGGUAAUACGUAGGGGGCUAGCGUUGUCCGGAAUCAUUGGGCGUAAAGAGCGUGUAGGCGGCUCGGUAAGUCCGCUGUGAAAGUCCAGGGCUCAACCCUGGAAUGCCGGUGGAAACUGUCGAGCUAGAGUCCGGAAGAGGUGAGUGGAAUUCCUGGUGUAGCGGUGAAAUGCGCAGAUA
rnacentral:rRNA from 1 species